rnacentral:lncRNA from 1 species
UGAAGGCUGGUAAUAGUGACUGAUGUAGUACCAUGGAGAAAAGAAACCUGAACAUUGCUCUCCGAGGAAGCCGAGCAAGGAGUGAGGGCUGAUACAUUGAAUGCCUCCCUGCGAAUCUUGAAUCCAGGCUUUCCAUGGUUUGCUCGCUGUAUAAUCUCAUUAAGCCAAUGGGUAUUGCACUGAGCUGCUUUUUCCACUGGAAGAGGCAAUCUGAUAUCUUGCCUGAGAACCAACCUUACUGGGCUUCCUGGAUGCUGUUUUGUAGAAGGCACUGAUGAAUGCUUCCCC